GGGACCCUUCCGUGCUUGGCCACUUCGGACCGCGCCCCCGGGUUCUGGCGGUCUGCCCGGA
rnacentral:rRNA from 1 species